rnacentral:rRNA from 1 species
CGAAGCGUGCGAUUGGAUUGCACGUCUAAGCAGUAAGGCUGAGUAUUAGGCAAAUCCGGUACUCGUUAAGGCUGAGCUGUGAUGGGGAGAAGACAUUGUGUCUUCGAGUCGUUGAUUUCACACUGCCGAGAAAAGCCUCUAGAUAGAAAAUAGGUGCCCGUACCGCAAACCGACACAGGUAGUCAAGAUGAGAAUUCUAAGGUGAGCGAGCGAACUCUCGUUAAGGAACUCGGCAAAAUGACCCC